UACGUAGGGGGCUAGCGUUGUCCGGAAUCAUUGGGCGUAAAGAGCGUGUAGGCGGCCCGGUAAGUCCGCUGUGAAAGUCGGGGGCUCAACCCUCGAAUGCCGGUGGAUACUGUCGGGCUAGAGUGCGGAAGAGGCGAGUGGAAUUCCUGGUGUAGCGGUGAAAUGCGCAGAUAUCAGGAGGAACACCAAGUGCGAAGGCAGCUCGCUGGGACGUCACUGACGCUGAGACGCGAAAGCGUGGGGAGCAAACAGG
rnacentral:rRNA from 1 species